rnacentral:rRNA from 1 species
AGGGCACCACCAGGAGUGGAGCCUGCGGCUUAAUUUGACUCAACGCGGGAAAACUCACCCGGCCCGGACACCGUAAGGAUUGACAGAUUGAGAGCUCUUUCUUGAUUCGGUGGGUGGGGGUGCUUGGCCGUUCUUAGUUGGGGGAGCGAUUUGUCUGGUUAAUUCCGAUAACGAACGAGACUCUAGCCUACUAAAUAGUGACUGAAUUUUUAAUUCAGUAUACUUCUUAGAGGGACAAAGGGGAUCUAGCCCUACGAGAUUGAGCAAUAACAGGUCUGUGAUGCCCUUAGAUGUCCGGGGCUGCACGCGCGCUACACUGAAGGAGUCAACAUGCAUUGAAACCUAGUCUGGAAAGACCGGGUAACCCAAUGAAACUCCUUCGUGAUUGGGAUAGGGAAUUGUAAUUAUUUCCCUUGAACGAGGAAUCCCUAGUAAAUGCGGGUCAUCAUCUCGCGUUGAUUACGUCCCUGCCCUUUGUACACACCGCCCGUCGCUACUACCGAUUGGAUGUUUCGGUGA